rnacentral:tRNA from 1 species
AGGGCUGUAGCUCAGUGGUAGAGCAUUUACCUCAUAUGUGUGAGGCACUGGGUUCGAUCCUCAGCACCACAU